rnacentral:rRNA from 1 species
ACGGCUCAUUACAAUGGCCAUKAUUUACUUGAUCUUGAUUGUCUAAAUGGAUAACUGUGGAAAAGCUAGAGCUAAUACAUGCACUAAAGCUUUGUCCUUACGGAAAAGCGCAUUUAUUAGAACAAAACCACGCGGCUUCGGCUGCUUCUUGUUGACUCAGAAUAACUWAGCUGACCGCAUGGCCUUGUGCCGGCGGCGUGUCUUUCAAGCGUCCACUUUAUCAACUUGACGGGAGCAUAAUCGACUCCCGUGGUGGUGACGGAUAACGGAGGAUCAGGGUUCGACUCCGGAGAAGGGGCCUGAGAAAUGGCCACUACGUCUAAGGAUGGCAGCAGGCGCGCAAAUUACCCACUCUCGGCUCGAGGAGGUAGUGACGAGAAAUAACGAGAYUGUUCUCUUUGAGGCCGGUCAUCGGAAUGGGUACAAUUUAAACCCUUUAACGAGUAUCAAGCAGAGGGCAAGUCUGGUGCCAGCAGCCGCGGUAAUUCCAGCUCUGCWAAUACAUAGAAUUAUUGCUGCGGUUARAAAGCUCRUAGUUGGAUUCGUAUCGRUACCYUGGAACCCUYCGGGUGUCUCUGGGUGUUAUCGAUUUAUCGUAAUGUUCGGUUUUGAGUCCUUAACAGGAUUCUUAACAGGCAUUGCAAGUUUACUUUGAACAAAUCAGAGUGCUUCAAACAGGCGUUUUCGCUUGAAUGAUCGUGCAUGGAAUAAUAGAAAAUGAUUUCGGUUCAGUUUUAUUGGUUUUACGGACUGAGAUAAUGGUUAACAGAGACAAACGGGGGCAUUUGUAUGGUCCCGUGAGAGGUGAAAUUCUUGGACCGUGGCCAGACAAACUACAGCGAAAGCAUUUGCCAAGAAUGUUUUUAUUAAUCAAGAACGAAAGUCAGAGGUUCGAAGGCGAUCAGAUACCGCCCUAGUUCUGACCGUAAACGAUGCCAACUAGCGAUCCGCCGAUGGAAAUUAUAUUGCCUUGGUGGGGAGCUUCCCGGAAACGAAAGUCUUCCGGUUCCGGGGGAAGUAUGGUUGCAAAGCUGAAACUUAAAGGAAUUGACGGAAGGGCACCACCAGGAGUGGAGCCUGCGGCUUAAUUUGACUCAACACGGGGAAACUCACCCGGCCCGGACACUGUGAGGAUUGACAGAUUGAUAGCUUUUUCAUGAUUCAGUGGAUGGUGGUGCAUGGCCGUUCUUAGUU